rnacentral:lncRNA from 1 species
GGAUUAUGGCAAGUAAUUGCAUCAGGCCAGACUCGAUCGUUUGAAGCAACAGUGCCUAUCAAAGAUUCUCAUUUAGUCGUCCUCUACUGAAGUUCAAAAAACAUGGCAGAAUUUAAAGUUGUUAGGGAGAAUAGUGGUCAUUGUAUUUCAAUGUAGCAUUUUCCAUGUAUUUACCAUUUUUUAACUUUGUAAUGAUCCAUGGAGCCACGCCAUUUGCGGACUACCAUUCAAUCAAUA